CAUGCUUCUUGUCACGCUUUCAUUUCUUUUUCUUUCUGCCCUCAUCCCCAUUUUCAAUUCUUCCUCACGUCUUCUUCCCAUGAAGACCGAAGCCCACACCACCGAAAUAUCGCCACCGAAGCGUUUCUACUUUAUUGUUGCCACUCGUCCAGCUUCAACCGAAGCCCAUCUCUGCCACGUUGCUGCUCCCUCUAGCAAGUUUGGUCUCCACCGGUCUUCUUGUUGCCAACCCCAUCAUCCCCAUCCCACCGAAGCUGCUGCAUCCUCCGCCAGCUGCCAGCACCACCGGUUCCUUUAUGCUUCCACCUUGCCGCUUGAAAGUCCACCAAAGCUGCUGCCGUUCGUCCAGCAGAACCAGCUGAUUUCCAACUGCUGCCAUCUCGCCGAAGACCGAAGCUCACGGAUCCAGCUGCCAGCAAAGCUGAAACCCAGCGUUGUGUCCUACGUUGCUGCUUCAAUUUGCUACAGCUCAGCCCACGCUGCAACCUACCGAGCAGUCCAGCGAAAAUUCUCCACGGGCCCAAGCGAAUUCAACUCAGCCGCAGCAGGCCCAGUUCAGUUUUCAGUGGCCCAAGUCUGCAAGCUUCGGUCCAGCUUUGAAGCCCAUGUUCAGUUGUGGUUCAGCCCAGUUUGAAGCUGCAGUUCAGCCCAUUAAUUUCAGUCAGGCCCAAUCCAACAGUCUUCAGCCUAUUUGAAGCCCGGCCCAAUUUAGUGAAGUCCAGCAAGCCUAUUUAAAGCCCGCGACCUUGAAGCCCGUUUAGUUCAGUCCAUUCUCAGCAGGUCCAAGCCCAAGUUUAAGUCCAGAAUUUUCUGUGGGCUUGUAAAGUUUCUUGGCCUGGCCCGAGGGUGCAUCGAAACCGCCAAAAAUUUAGGUUUCAGCCGCCGUCACGGUGAUUCGGUCUCCGCUUUUACCCAGACUCGUAUGAGGAGCCUAAGGAGGAGGAAUCUAAUGACGAGAUCCCUAUUGAGGAAACCGAAGAGCAGUACGUGGAGAAGGACCCCAAGGACGACCCCAAGUACGACCCGAAUGAGGAUUGAGAUCCUGUCUUGUCUUGUCAGACCUUGUCUGCAUGUGAAUAGAUGUUAGAUCAAACUUACGUAUAUAUAGUAUUGUAGAAUACUAUGAGAUGUGUGUAAAAAGGUGUGGUUUUGAAUUUUCAGUAUGAAAAAUAUGAUUUGUUUUUACUA